AGCUUUCUAAUUUGUCUUAAGACAUGCUCAAUGAGAGGGAAGUCAUACUUGUUCCUAGAAACCUAGCCAACUACCCAGGGCUAGUAAAGUCAUGGAUUUUGGAGGAGAACUUAUAAUCACCACUUUACUAAGCCAGUAUAAUCAUUAACUACAUUCUCAACAUUUGUCUUUGACAACAUGUGUAGUCACCACCCUUCAUCAGGGAUACUUCUCUUUCAAACAGAGAUCAUUAUAGAAAACCACAUCGCAAUGCAGAGUUGUGGAGCACAGUUCCAACAGCUACAUCUACAAUCAAUGCCUGCAGCUUAGGUUUAGCAAGCAUUGCAGAAGAAGAAGAAGAAGAAGAAAGAUUGUAAGAGCCAGGGGAUCAGUUCACAAGAAUGAAGGUCAUUUCACUGUGAAGAAUUAAGGAAGUGCAAAUGAAUAUAUAAAAUCAACUAUAAGCAUCUAAUGAGAAAAAGAGAUUGUAGUAUGGCUUUAUAUAUUUUGUGCAUUAUCACCUUUUACUAUUUGAUACUUUGCCAGGACAUUUGUAACAAAAAUACAUGGAAUUUGAAUUUGAGUGACAGUGCACUGUGUGAUUAUAGAAUCUAAACAAUCUCAUGGAGACAAAACAUUGCACUCCACUAAGAAAAGCACAUGACUAGACCUUAUGCUAACCUGUUGUUCUAAUCUCAGAUACUGGUGGACUUGGGAGAACAAUUUUUAAAAAGAAAGAAAUAAAACUGAACAUAGUCAGCA